rnacentral:rRNA from 1 species
CGAAGGGGGCUAGCGUUGCUCGGAAUCACUGGGCGUAAAGGGCGCGUAGGCGGCCUAUCAAGUCGGGGGUGAAAGCCUGUGGCUCAACCACAGAAUUGCCUUCGAUACUGUUAGGCUUGAGUAUGGCAGAGGUUAGUGGAACCGCGAGUGUAGAGGUGAAAUUCGUAGAUAUUCGCAAGAACACCAGUGGCGAAGGCGGCUAACUGGGCCAUUACUGACGCUGAGGCGCGAAAGCGUGGGGAGCAAACAGGAUUAGAUACCCUGGUAGUCCACGCCGUAAACGAUGAGUGCUAGCUGUUGGGGUGCUUGCACCGCAGUAGCGCAGCUAACGCUUUAAGCAUUCCGCCUGGGGAGUACGGUCGCAAGAUUA